rnacentral:rRNA from 1 species
UACGAAGGGGGCUAGCGUUGCUCGGAAUUACUGGGCGUAAAGGGAGCGUAGGCGGAUAGUUUAGUCAGAGGUGAAAGCCCAGGGCUCAACCCUGGAAUUGCCUUUGAUACUGGCUAUCUUGAGUGUGGGAGAGGUUAGCGGAACUCCGAGUGUAGAGGUGAAAUUCGUAGAUAUUCGCAAGAACACCAGUGGCGAAGGCGGCUUACUGGACCGGUUCUGACGCUGAGGCGCGAAAGCGUGGGGAGCAAACAGG